rnacentral:rRNA from 1 species
UACGAAGGGGGCUAGCGUUGUUCGGAAUUACUGGGCGUAAAGCGUGCGCAGGCGGUUUUCCAAGUCAGUGGUGAAAGCCCGGAGCUCAACUCCGGAACUGCCAUUGAAACUGUGAAACUAGAGUACGGGAGAGGUGAGUGGAAUUCCCAGUGUAGAGGUGAAAUUCGUAGAUAUUGGGAAGAACACCGGUGGCGAAGGCGGCUCACUGGCUCGUUACUGACGCUCAGGCACGACAGCGUGGGGAUCAAACAGG